rnacentral:rRNA from 1 species
UGCCAGACUCCUACGGGAGGCAGCAGUGGGGAAUAUUGCACAAUGGGGGAAACCCUGAUGCAGCGACGCCGCGUGAAGGACGAAGUAUUUCGGUACGUAAACUUCUAUCAGCAGGGAAGAAAAUGACGGUACCUGACCAAGAAGCCCCGGCUAACUACGUGCCAGCAGCCGCGGUAAUACGUAGGGGGCAAGCGUUAUCCGGAUUUACUGGGUGUAAAGGGAGCGUAGACGGCCAUGCAAGUCUGAUGUGAAAACCCGGGGCUCAACCCCGGGACUGCAUUGGAAACUGUGCGGCUGGAGUGUCGGAGAGGCAAGUGGAAUUCCUAGUGUAGCGGUGAAAUGCGUAGAUAUUAGGAGGAACACCAGUGGCGAAGGCGGCUUACUGGACUGUAACUGACGUUGAGGCUCGAAAGCGUGGGGAGCAAACAGGAUUAGAUCCCCUAGUA